CCUACGGGAGGCUGCAGUGAGGAAUAUUGGUCAAUGGGCGCGAGCCUGAACCAGCCAAGUAGCGUGAAGGAUGACUGCCCUACGGGUUGUAAACUUCUUUUAUAAAGGCAUAAAGUGAGGCACGUGUGCCUUUUUGUAUGUACUUUAUGAAUAAGGAUCGGCUUCCUUCGUGCCAGCAGCCGCGGUAAUACGGAGGAUCCGGACGUUAUCCGGAUUUAUUGGGUUUAAAGGGAUCGGAGAUGGGUUGUUAAGUCAGUUGUGAAAGUUUGCGGCUCAACCGUAAAAUUGCAAUUGAUACUGGCAGUCUUGAGUACAGUUGAGGUAGGCGGAAUUCGUGGUGUAGCGGUGAAAUGCUUAGAUAUCACGAAGAACUCCGAUUGCGAAGGCAGCUUACUAAACUGCCACUGACAUUGAUGCUCGAAAGUGUGGGUAGCAAACAGGAUUAGAUACCCGGGUAGUC
rnacentral:rRNA from 1 species